UUUUGCGCAAUGGGCGAAAGCCUGACGCAGCAACGCCGCGUGAACGUAGAAGCCCUUCGGGGUGUAAAGUUCUGUCAGAGGGGACGAAUUUUGACGGUACCCUCAGAGGAAGCACCGGCUAACUCCGUGCCAGCAGCCGCGGUAAUACGGAGGGUGCAAGCGUUGUCCGGAAUCAUUGGGCGUAAAGCGUUCGUAGGCGGUUUAUCAAGUCUGGUGUUAAAUCCCGGGGCUCAACUUCGGAUCUGCACUGGAUACUGGUAGACUAGAAUGAGGUAGUGGUAAUGGGAAUUCCUGGUGUAACGGUGAAAUGUUUAGAUAUCAGGAGGAACAUCGGUGGCGUAAGCGCAUUACUGGGCCUUUAUUGACGCUGAGGAACGAAAGCUAGGGUAGCAAACGGG
rnacentral:rRNA from 1 species